rnacentral:sRNA from 1 species
CCUGCGGAGGGAUCAUUACCGAGUUUACAACUCCCAAACCCCUGUGAACAUACCACUUGUUGCCUCGGCGGAUCAGCCCGCUCCCGGUAAAACGGGACGGCCCGCCAGAGGACCCCUAAAACUCUGUUUCUAUAUGUAACUUCUGAGUAAAACCAUAAAUAAAUCAAAACUUUCAACAACGGAUCUCUUGGUUCUGGCAUCGAUGAAGAACGCAGCAAAAUGCGAUAAGUAAUGUGAAUUGCAGAAUUCAGUGAAUCAUCGAAUCUUUGAACGCACAUUGCGCCCGCCAGUAUUCUGGCGGGCAUGCCUGUUCGAGCGUCAUUUCAACCCUCAAGCACAGCUUGGUGUUGGGACUCGCGUUAAUUCGCGUUCCUCAAAUUGAUUGGCGGUCACGUCGAGCUUCCAUAGCGUAGUAGUAAAACCCUCGUUACUGGUAAUCGUCGCGGCCACGCCGUUAAACCCCAACUUCUGAAUGU